GCCGUGGCUCAGCAACAGAGCAAUUGCUUUGCAUGCUGAACGUCCCGGGUUCAAUUCCUGGCAUCUCCA
rnacentral:tRNA from 1 species